ACUUUUUUGGUGACCCCCGCCCUUCUGAACGUUUUGGCUGGCUACGAGUUUGUAAAAAGUACAAACACUUCUCUUCUAUUCACAUCUCUGUACUGGCAAACACACCACGACGGAAGUUCCAAUAACCACUUUCAUUAGUUGCCAGCAGAGAGCAGCACAGUUUUAAAAAAGAAUCGACUUUUAGAGUGUUGAAAUGCUUUGCAGACCAGAUUGAAGCUAUAGUAUUUGGACAAGCCCUACCCCACACUCGAAGCUUUCUCGGGAGUAUCUAAAUCAAUAUAAACUAGUUGCCAGCUUUUGAACGGCUUCAUCAGAUGCUCCAAGUGACACCAAGCCAAUUUCCUGAGAGAAUUGAGCAAAGCUGGGUUCAGCCAGGAGAGGGACAUGGCCCAAAAGCUCAUGACAGGUAUCACUGGAAAAGAGGAAGAAGAACUGAUGCUGAAUCAGUUAAAUUAUCCGUUGGAUUCACAGAUACAACAUUGGCAUGAGAUUUCAAGAGAUGGAAGAUCUCAUCGAGCUGUUCCCUGUUACUGUCACAGUCAACAAAAAUCUCAAACUCAGAAUUUCUUCUUCUGGAUUUUCGAGAUUCUAUGUGUACCAGGUUCACAUGUUUCUCCUGAUGGAUAAGACCAUUUUCGUUAGAUUGUCAAUAGUUCUGAGAGCUAAAAUAUCUGCCAUUCAGUUAUUUCCUGAAGAGCGUUUAGUUAUACGAGUUUGCUAAUCAACACAAAAGAAUUUAGAUUUUUGAAAUGCCUGUCAUUGAAUUCACUUCCUAGCAUAGUAAUUGUCAUUUUAUGUUAAUGCUACUCUUGUCCAGUAUGAUCAUUCUAAGCCAAUUGAUAUAAACAAAUAUUUGUUUAUAUCAAUUGGCUUAGAAUGGUUCAUCUAUGGCUUACAUUAUGCUUCAUGUGUAAUACCCUCUCCUGUCUUCUAGAUGUACAUAUGCACUGCUUCUUUACUUUCCUGUAAAGAACUGAACAAUGCCCUUUGAGUAAAAUUAAGCCAAUCAUACUGAUGGUUAAUUUACUAGUCAAUAAGAUAAUUCAUUUGCUACCAUUGCCAUUUUUUCUAUGUGCAUUCUUUUCAGGAGCAUCUGAAAAGACUAUUGAUUCAUCUUCCUGAGAGGGAAAUAUACAAUUUCAGCCUUACAUGUUACACUGGAAAUGUGGAAAGAAAAAGUACCACUGAAAUUGUGCUUCCUUCUUCAGUACUUCGUAAUGUACAAAGUUGCCCUGAGUUAAAAGUCUU